UCCAGAGGAAGAAAAAACAAACUCAUUUUCAAAGUACCUUCUAAUAACCUUUCACACCGCUGCUCCGUACCCAGCAUCAGUACGGAGCAGCGGUGUGAAAACCAUGGGCCACUGUGGAAUUUUAGAAAUUUCUGUUGCGAUGCCUCCAUUCACCGGCAAGGGAAGACAGAAGCCCAGAGGAAAGUCGGUACUGUGAUCUACCGAAGGCUCAGGAGGCUGGGCCCAGGUCCUCUGCGGGCUGUCCUGGGCACCCCCCGGCAUGCCCUCGGAGCACAGCUGUCCUGGGGCCCGAACUCCUCCGGGAACAGAUUUUCAGCUAGAGGCAGACGGCUCCAGAAACUCUGAUGGACCAGGAAGGUGGGCAGGAACGGGAGGCGGAUGGAAGGGGCCAGUCUCCACUAAGGGCCAGGAGCCCCCACGGCUGGCACCCCUGACCCCAUCACAGUGCUCAGCUCAUCCAGGGACUGCAGUUCCCCCAAAUAACCAGGCUGUCGGGGGCCAGCAGCAAGCAUGAGAGACACCCAGCAUGUUGAGGACUCCGUACCAACAAGACAAAGCAAAAAACAAAGGAGCGUAAAAUAAUUCAGUAACUAUUUUUAUACUGAUUCCAUGUUGAAAUGUUAACAUUUGGGGUAUCUUUGGCUCAAUACAAAUACAUUAGUCAAA